rnacentral:rRNA from 1 species
UUUCCGGUUGAUCCUGCCGGACCUGACUGCUAUCGGAUUGAUACUAAGCCAUGCGAGUCAUUGUAGUAAUACAAGGCAGACGGCUCAGUAACGCGUAGGUCAACCUAACCUAUGGACAGGGAAUAACCUCGGGAAACUGAGUAUAAUGCCCGAUAGAACAUUAUGCCUGGAAUGGUUAUAUGUUCCAAAUGAUUUAUCGCCGUAGGAUGGGACUGCGGCCUAUCAGUUUGUAUGGUGAGGUAAUGGCCCACCAAAGACUAUUACAGGUACGGGCUCUGAGAGGAGUAGCCCGGAGAUGGGUACUGACACACGGACCCAGGCCCUAUGGGGCGCAGCAGUGCGAGAAAACUUUGCAAAUGUAGCGAAAGCCACGACAAGGUUAAUACAGAGUGGUUAUCUGCUAAAGGAACCUUUUAGUCAGGUCCUAGAAACACCGAUUGACAUACAGGGGUUGGGGCAAG